UACGAAGGGGGCUAGCGUUGCUCGGAAUCACUGGGCGUAAAGCGCACGUAGGCGGAUUGCUAAGUCAGGGGUGAAAUCCUGGAGCUCAACUCCAGAACUGCCUUUGAUACGGGCGACCUUGAGUCCGGGAGAGGUGAGUGGAACUGCGAGUGUAGAGGUGAAAUUCGUAGAUAUUCGCAAGAACACCAGUGGCGAAGGCGGCUCACUGGCCCGGUACUGACGCUGAGGUGCGAAAGCGUGGGGAGCAAACAGG
rnacentral:rRNA from 1 species